UGGGUAAGAAACUAAUUGAUUGACUGAUGCAGGUAAGAAACUAAUUGAUUGACUGAUGCAGGUGAGAAACUAAUUGAUUGACUGAUGUGGGUAAGAAACUAAUUGAUUGACUGAUGUGGGUAAGAAACUAAUUGAUUGACUGAUGCAGGUGAGAAACUAAUUGAUUGACUGAUGUGGGUAAGAAACUAAUUGAUUGACUGAUGUGGGUGAGAAACUAAUUGAUUGACUGAUGCAGGUGAGAAACUAAUUGAUUGACUGAUGUGGGUAAGAAACUAAUUGAUUGACUGAUGUGGGUGAGAAACUAAUUGAUUGACUGAUGUGGGUGAGAAACUAAUUGAUUGACUGAUGUGGGUGAGAAACUAAUUGAUUGACUGAUGCAGGUGAGAAACUAAUUGAUUGACUGAUGCAGGUAAGAAACUAAUUGAUUGACUGAUGCAGGUGAGAAACUAAUUGAUUGACUGAUGCAGGUAAGAAACUAAUUGAUUGACUGAUGUGGGUGAGAAACUAAUUGAUUGACUGAUGCAGGUGAGAAACUAAUUGAUUGACUGAUGUGGGUAAGAAACUAAUUGAUUGACUGAUGCAGGUAAGAAACUAAUUGAUUGACUGAUGCAGGUAAGAAACUAAUUGAUUGACUGAUGCAGGUAAGAAACUAAUUGAUUGACUGAUGCAGGUAAGAAACUAAUUGAUUGACUGAUGCAGGUAAGAAACUAAUUGAUUGACUGAUGCAGGUAAGAAACUAAUUGAUUGACUGAUGUGGGUAAGAAACUAAUUGAUUGACUGAUGCAGGUAAGAAACUAAUUGAUUGACUGAUGUGGGUAAGAAACUAAUUGAUUGACUCAUUCAUUCAUUCAUUCAUUCAUUCAUUAAUAAGCAGGUGUAUAGAUGUUUAGCCAAGUAGGAAAGAUAGUUAAAAAAUGUAAAGAUGGAUAGUAAAGAAGGUAUUGAUAAUGCUAGUUUUUAUUCUACAGGUAUGGUUAUUUUUUAUAGUAUUAAUAGUAGUAGUA